AGAGUUUGAUCCUGGCUCAGGAUGAACGCUGGCGGCGUGCUUAACACAUGCAAGUCGAACGAAGCACCUUGAUUUGAUUCUUCGGAUGAAGAUCUUGGUGACUGAGUGGCGGACGGGUGAGUAACGCGUGGGUAACCUGCCUCAUACAGGGGGAUAACAGUUAGAAAUGACUGCUAAUACCGCAUAAGACCACAGCACCGCAUGGUGCAGGGGUAAAAACUCCGGUGGUAUGAGAUGGACCCGCGUCUGAUUAGGUAGUUGGUGGGGUAACGGCCUACCAAGCCGACGAUCAGUAGCCGACCUGAGAGGGUGACCGGCCACAUUGGGACUGAGACACGGCCCAAACUCCUACGGGAGGCAGCAGUGGGGAAUAUUGCACAAUGGGCGAAAGCCUGAUGCAGCGACGCCGCGUGAGUGAAGAAGUAUUUCGGUAUGUAAAGCUCUAUCAGCAGGGAAGAAAAUGACGGUACCUGACUAAGAAGCCCCGGCUAACUACGUGCCAGCAGCCGCGGUAAUACGUAGGGGGCAAGCGUUAUCCGGAUUUACUGGGUGUAAAGGGAGCGUAGACGGUGUGGCAAGUCUGAUGUGAAAGGCAUGGGCUCAACCUGUGGACUGCAUUGGAAACUGUCAUACUUGAGUGCCGGAGGGGUAAGCGGAAUUCCUAGUGUAGCGGUGAAAUGCGUAGAUAUUAGGAGGAACACCAGUGGCGAAGGCGGCUUACUGGACGGUAACUGACGUUGAGGCUCGAAAGCGUGGGGAGCAAACAGGAUUAGAUACCCUGGUAGUCCACGCCGUAAACG
rnacentral:rRNA from 1 species